AGUGAUUUUCUACGGAUAUUUGAUUUAUGAUGAUAUUUUUUAACCGAGUCAGUUUACAAGUAGAGAAUUAAUCAAGAUAUUUUUCUUUGAAUGAGUCAACUUAAGAAUAAUGAUUCCGAAGAUUAAUCAUAGACACGUGAUAUUAAGAAAAAUGUGUCACUAAAGUUCUAAAGUUCCGGGAAAUUAAUCCAGUUAUUGGCGUCCUAACAAUGGAAGUCCUCGCACCAAUAUUCUAUUAGCAAUGUAAUCAGCAAAACUGUAUAUUCUUUUAAAGAUUAUAUUUUUUUAAUAAUCCACAAUAAAUCACGGUGUGAACAAUAAAAUCUGUUUGAUAGUCAUUGAGACGAGGAACUAUUAACUACUCUAUUGUUCGUCACGGUGUUGGUUGUUGAUUGAACAAAGUUUGUUGAAAAUUAAUUUUCCUUUUGGCAGCCGCUCAGGGGGACUGCUUUGUUAUGCUAUGAUUAAAGUUGAUGUCCUCCGCAAUUUACUAUGAUAUUUCUUUCUUCAAUUGUGAGAUUCUGUAAUUAUUAUUAUUAUUAUUGUUAAAUUUUUUGUCUCUGACUUAAAAUUCUUGCAAUUGUAUGAUGCCAGCGAAACCCAGUGAAAUAAGCUCUUAAAUAGUGCAAGAUGUGACUUGGACCGUUUUGAAAAUAUCUCAUUAAUUGUUCACUAUUUAAAUAUCCGCAAUUAUUUAAAAUUUGUCUCAAGCUUAAAAUAUCUAAACAGUUAUUCGACUGUGUAUACUUAUAAUUUCUUUGUUCUAUUAAUUCGUUUAUAACUUCAUCUACAACACACAAAUCCCAGAAAUUACCCUCCGUACAGAUGGUUUUUGUUUCCAAAAUUCUUAAAAUUGGUAUGAAAACACUAAUUUUUUCACCUCCUCCAGCUAUGAAUAAAUACUUCCAAUUGUUGUCGUACAAAAGUAUAAGCCAUACGUCUAUCCAAGCAAAUACCGUAUAAGUGUUUUUUUCUGUGGGCUCCAAAUUCUGCGGUUUUUCAAAAUUUUGGCAUGUUUUUAUUUCUGCAGACUUAAUUUCUGCGGCACAUUCUUUGGACAAAAUGUGAUUUAAAUUCUGCGGCUCAUCUUAUUAAAGUCUAAGUCACAUUACAUUACCUAUUUUAUUUGCAUGUACACAUUCGCAUUAAAAUUUUGUUUACCGUCGUCACCGCGGAACUAUAUUAUAUAGUAAUUACAAACAAUUAUAUUAUUUGCUUGCAAACAAAUAUAAUGUGCAUCAAUAGACAGUUUGCAUCUUUAAAUCAGUGUGAAAUGACGUGUGAAAAAUAUACUAUGGUAGUAUCUUUAAUUUUAUAAAAUUGAUAGAAGUUUAUCGUAAAUCAGACAACAAUUAAUGUAUACGACGAUUGUUUAGCAGAAUAAGGGUUUAAAUGGUUUUAAUGAUAUAGUGGUAAACAAACCCUUUAGCGUACAGGCAAACACUAUGAUGUUUGAAUUUCUUUGUUCAUAAAUUGGCAUAAUUAACAACAAUUACAUCCUUACAUGCAGAUAUUGCAUAUUUAGCCGAAAUCAAUUUUAUAUAACUCGAUGACCCGCUAACCGUUAUAAUCGUUUAGUCUUUAUUCCUUUAAAGGAAACAGGUCAUAAUGUAGGACUCAUUUCUUUUAAAAAAAACAAAACGUGGAGAAAUAUUCUGCGGUUUUUAUUUCUGCGGUGCUGAAACUGACCGAAGAAAACGCAGGAAUAAAGUCACCGCAGAAAAAACCACUUGUACGGUACCAGCCUCAUUUGGAUCGUUAAAAUAACCAGUUGUUAAUAUUCUAUGAAUAGCGUCGUGGUUAACUAUUUAUCCCAAAUAUAAGUGAGAUCUCAUAAUAUCACGACCUCCGAAACAAUUAAACCAAAAGUUCCAGUUUUUUAGCUCACCUGUCACAAAGUGACAGGGUGAGCUUUUGUGAUCGCUUUUCGUCCGUCGUCCGUCCGUCCGUAAACUUUUGCUUUAAAUGACAUCUCCUCAUAAACCACUGAGCCAAUUUCAUCCAAACUUCAGAGGAAUGUUCCUUUGGUGGUCACCUUUAAAAAUUGUUCAAAGAAUUUAAUUCCAUGCAGAACUCUGGUUGCCAUGGCAACCAAAAGAAAAAACUUUAAAUAUCUUCUUUUAAAAAACCAUAAGAGCUAGAGCUUAGAUAUUUGGCAUGAAACAUCUUCUAGUGAGUGUCUACCAAGUUUGUUCAAAUAAAAGCCCUGGGGUCAAAAUUGGCCCUGCCCCUGGGGGUCAUUGAUUUUCCCUAUAUACAUAUAGUAAAAACUUAAAAAAUCUUCUUUUAAAGAACCGUAAGAGCUAGAGCUUAGAUAUUUGGCAUGAAACAUCUUCUAGUGAAUGUCUACCAAGUUUGUUCAAAUAAAAGCCCUGGGGUCAAAAUUGGCCCCGACCCAGGGGGUCAUUGAUUUUCCCUAUAUGCAUAUAGUAAAACUUUAAAAAAUCUUCUUUUAAAGAACCCAAAGAGCUAGAGCUAAGAUAUUAAGCAUGAAACAUCUUCUAGUGAGUGUCUACCAAGUUUGUUCAAAUUAAAGCCCUGGGGUCAAAAUUGGCCCCGCCCCGGGAGUCAUUGAUUUUCCCUAUAUGCAUAUAGUAAAAACUUUAAAAAUCUUCUUUUAAAGAACCAUAAGAGCUAGAGCUUAGAUAUUUAGCAUGAAACAUCUUCUAGUGAAUGUCUACCAAGUUUGUUCAAAUAAAUGCCCUGGGGUCAAAAUUGACCCCGCCCCAGGGGGUCAUAGAUUUUCCCUAUAUGCAUAUAGUAAAAACUUAAAAAAAUUUCUUUUAAAGAACCCAAAGAGCUAGAGCUAAGAUAUUAAGCAUGAAACAUCUUCUAGUGAGUGUCUACCAAGUUUGUUCAAAUUAAAGCCCUGGAGUCAAAAUUGGCCCGCCCCGGGGAUCAUUGAUUUUCCCUAUAUGCAUAUAGUAAAAACUUAAAAAAUCUUCUUUUAAAGAACCAUAAGAGCUAGAGCUUAGAUAUUUGGCAUGAAACAUCUUCUAGUGAAUGUCUACCAAGUUUGUUCAAAUAAAAGCCCUGGGGUCAAAAUUGACCCGCCCCAGGGGGUCAUAGAUUUUCCCUAUAUGCAUAUAAUAAAAACUUAAAAAAUUUUCUUUUAAAGAACCCAAAGAGCUAGAGCUAAGAUAUUAAGCAUGAAACAUCUUCUAGUGAGUGUCUACCAAGUUUGUUCAAAUUAAAGCCCUGGAGUCAAAAUUGGCCCGCCCCGGGGAUCAUUGAUUUUCCCUGUAUGCAUAUAGUAAAAACUUAAAAAAUCUUCUUUUAAAGAACCAUAAGAGCUAGAGCUUAGAUAUUUGGCAUGAAACAUCUUCUAGUGAAUGUCUACCAAGUUUGUUCAAAUAAAAGCCCUGGGGUCAAAAUUGACCCUGCCCCAGGGGGUCAUAGAUUUUCCCUAUAUGCAUAUAGUAAAAACUUAAAAAAUCUUUUUUUAAAGAACCCAAAGAGCUAGAGCUAAGAUAUUUAGCAUGAAACAUCUUCUAAUGAGUGUCUACCAAGUUUGUUCAAAUAAAAGCUCUGGGGUCAAAAUUGGCCCCGCCCCAGGGGGUCAUUGAUUUUCCCUAUAUGCAUAUAGUAAAAACUUAAAAAAUCUUCUUUUAAAGAACUCAAAGAGCUAGAGCUAAGAUAUUAAGCAUGAAACAUGUUCUAAUCAGUGUCUACCAAGUAUGUUCAAAUAAAAGCCCUGGGGUCAAAACUGGCCCCGCCCCAGGGGUGACAUUGUUUUAAACUAUAUGUGUAUAGUAAAAACUUUAAAAAUCUUCUUUUAAAAAAGCCAAUGAGCUAGAACUUAGAUGUUUAGCAUGAAACAUCUUCUUAUGGGUGUGUACCAAGUCUGUUCAAAUAAACAAAUAAAAGCCCUUGGGUAAAAAUUGGCCCGGGGGUGGGGGGCCUAUAUACAGGUGAGCGACCUCAGGGCCAUCAUGGCCCUCUUGUUUCGUCUUCCUAGCAUCACGACGACUUAAAAGUGAUGAAGGAAACACACCAGAAAGAGGUGUAGCAAACGUAGACACAUCUGGUUCCAAGAGAAUGGAUUCACUUGAUGUAGCAUCUAAUUCACUUGCUAUAACAUCUAAAUCAUAACUUUGACGACAGAAAGGACAACUAUCAAUAUGUUUAAAACACGAUUCACAAACAAAUGAUGUGCAUUUGCAUUUAUUUACAAAAUAAUACUCUUAAUCUUCAAGACAAACUCCGCAAGUUUCUAGCCAAAUUUCCUUAAACAUUUUUCUUUUCUUUUUUUCUUUUUUGUUUCGUUUAAGCACUCUAACGAAAAGACAUAACAAAUUGUAAUAUAUAUCAUAUUUCUUCCUGAGGCUACUCCUCAGGCAAAUUGUGAUCAUUCCCAACUCUGUGUGUCAUUUAUCCACUACUCAUGUUUAUAUUCUUCUAAUGAACAAUAGCUGUACAUCCAUAAAACAUAAUAAUUAGUUUAUAUAAUGUAACAGUUAAAAGUAUAAUUAGUUUAUAAAUUCCAAAUAAUAUAUAGAAUGUAGCCUCUAUGCAUUGUACACCACAAUAUACACACUACUCACAACAUAGUUAAUCAUUCGAAAACGUUUAUAAGCUGGUAACUUCGGUGACAUUUUCUUUAGACAAACUUGGGUAUAAUCAUUUUCACAAUUGUAUCUAAAGUAUCUUUUGACGACACAGGAAGAUUUUGAUUCCUGGACGAACGUGGUGUUGCCUCUGUAGAAACCAAUGUCGUCUGCAUCUCAAUGCUUUCUCUAGGUUGAGAGAUAACUUCUUUCCUUCACUGCAUGCUGUGAGCUGAAUAUGGGUUUUUUCCGGCAUCUCAUAUAACCCUUUUUAUAUACACAUAAUGCAAUAAGGAGAGGAUAAUAAGGACUCUUGAGACAGCGCCUACAUAAAGCCAAAUUGACCUUUAAUUUUUCUUGACCUGAAGGCUUUGCAUGGAAUUUAAUUCAUAUAAAAGACCUUGAUGGGAUAUUUCUUUAACUUCCUUUAGGGUUUUUGGGAUUUGAACCCGAGAUAGGUAAGGGAAAUGUUCUUUUCGAAGCGUCGCCAAAGCAUAGGUCUUGUAACGUUAUAAUUGCAAAGUAAUUGGAAAUCUUGAUCAGUUAUUGUGACCUGACUUUUCCGUACAGAGGCCGAGGUCAGUGUCAUAUAUUUGUUACAAGCUGUACACAUAUUAGGUACAUGCAUUAUACCUAUUGGAGGUCUUAUAAGUCUUGACCCUUCCUGAUUUUUAGCUCACCUGUCACAAAGUGACAGGGUGAGCUUUUGUGAUCGCUUUUUGUCCGGCGUCCGUCCGUCCUCCGUCCGUAAACUUUUACUUUAAAUGACAUCUCCUCAUAAACCACUAAGCCAAUUUCAUCCAAACUUCACAGGAAUGUUCCUUUGGUGGUCACCUUUAAAUAUUGUUCAAAGAAUUUAAUUUAAUGCAGAACUCUGGUUGCCAUGGCAACCAAAAGAAAAAACUUUAAAUAUCUUCUUUUAAAAAACUAUAAGAGCUAGAGCUUAGAUAUUUGGCAUGAAACAUCUUCUAGUGAGUGUCUACCAAAUUUGUUCAAAUAAAAGCCCUGGGGUCAAAAUUGGCCCCUCCCCGGGGGUCAUUGAUUUUCCUUAUAUGUGUAUGGCAAAAACUUAAAAUCUUUGAAAAAACCCAUAUAGCUAGAGUUUAGAUAUUAAGCAUGAAGCAUCUUCUAAUCAGUGUCUAAAAAGUUUUUUCAAAUAAAAGCCCCGGGGUCAAAAUUGGCCCUGCCCUGGGGGUCAUUGAUUUUCCUUUUUUGUGUGUAGCAAAAACUUAAAAAUCUUCUUUGAAAAACCCAAAUAGCUUGAGUUUAGAUAUUAAGCAUGAAACAUCUUUUAGUAAAUAUCUACAAAGUGUGUUCAAAUGAAAGCCCGGGGGUCAAAACUGGCCCUGCCCCAGGGGUGUCAUUGUUUUUAACUAUAUGUGUAUAGUAAAAACUUAAAAAAAUCUCUUUCAAAAAACCCAAUGAGUUAGAACUUAGAUGUUUAGAAUGAAACAUCUUCUUAUGGGUGUCUACCAAGUCUGUUCAAAUAAACAAAUAAAAGCCCUUGGGUAAAAAUUGGUGGGGGAGGAGGGGGCUAUAUACAGGUGAGCGACCUCAGGGCCAUCAUGGCCCUCUUAUGAUUACAUUUAAGUUUCAUUUCAAAUAAGGAGGCGAUACUUUGAUGACAAUCGUCAUUGUUAAUUUUUCAAAGCAAAAAGAGAUAGAUGUGUAACUAUUUAUAGUCAAAAUACUUUUUGUUACUGUUAGUCUCUCUCUGUGCAUGUAAAUUUGUUGCUGAAAAAGCGCCUUGAGGUCGACCCCCGGAAAAAGGACAUCUGAGAAUAUGAACUACAUUAAAAGUCCAUAUGAAGAAUCGGUCAAAACACAAUAACUAAUUCUAAUUAAUGCAAUAAAGAGAGGGGUUAGAAGAGAACAAUCAAUCUUUCAAGGAAAACUUUAAAAGACUCCCAUGGUUUUUGUUUGACUUUCCGCAAACUACACCUGGCCAUACCCACAAACAUUGCCUACUUUUCAACGCUUCUUCAAUCCAGUCUUUAAAGGCCUUGCUAUCACCUUCAAAGGACGGGACCACCUUAGCCACCCCAUGGGCUCCUAUGGAAGUGGAUAAACCAGAAAGUUGCUGUCACAUUUGCCUAAUAAGAUCUGCCGUUUCUUCCUGUUCAGCCAUAGCAAUUCAGAAGAAGUACUCAAAGUUACUCCCCACAAAUAUGAAGCUUCUUGGAAAUUUUCAAGGUAGUGACUGGCUUCUGUUCCGCACAACUUUGCAGAUGUACUGUUUAUGCAAAAACACAAUGUGCUUUCAUUGUCACGUGUAUUCAAAAUUUGAAACACACUAAAUAAAGAGUAUUCCUGUCCAUUUUUAGCUCACCUGAGCAUGCUCAGGGUGAGCUUUUAGGAUCGAUGAUUGUCCGUCGUCCGUCCGUUGUCCGUUCACAUUUAGUUGUUUAUACUCUAGCGGUCGCAUUUUUGCCUCAAUCAUCAUCAAACUUGGUCAGGAUGCUUAUCUAGUUGAUAGCUCGGAUGAGUUCGAACAUGGGUCAUCUCGGAUGAGAAACUAGGUCACAAGAGCUAAAAAUAGAAAAACCUUGUUAACACUCUAGAGGUCACAUUUUUGCCUCAAUCAUCAUCAAACUUGGUCAGGAUGUUUGUCUAGGUGAUAGCUCGGAUAAGUUCGAACAUGGGUCAUCUCGGAUGGAAAAGUAGGUCACCGGAGCUAAAAAUAGAAAAACCUUGUUAACACUCUAGCGGUCACAUUUUUGCAUCAAUCAUCAUCAAACUUGGUCAGGAUGCUUAUCUAGUUGAUAGCUCGGAUGAGUUCGAACAUGGGUCAUCUCGGAUGAAAAAGUAGGUCACAGAGCUAAAAAUAGAAAAACCUUGUUAACACUCUAGAGGUCACAUUUUUUCAUCAAUCAUCAUCAAACUUGGUCAGGAUGCUUAUCUAGUUGAUAGCUCGGAUGAGUUCGAACAUGGGUCAUCUCGGAUGAAAAAGUAGGUCACCGGAGCUAAAAAUAGAAAAACCUUGUUAACACUCUAGCGGUCACAUUUUUGCAUCAGUCAUCAUCAAACUUGGUCAAGAUGCUUGUCUAGGUGAUAGCUCGGAUGAGUUUGAACAUGGGUCAUCUCGGAUGAAAAACUAGGUCACAGGAGCUAAAAAUAGAAAAACCUUGUUAACACUCUAGAGGUCACAAUUUUGACUUAAUUGUCAUCAAACUUGGUCAGGAAACUUGUCUAGGUCAUUGCUGGGAAUAAAUCGAACAUGGGUCAUCUCGGAUGAAAAACUAGGUCACAGGAGCUAAAAAUAGAAAAAUCUUGUUAACACUCUAGUGGCUACUGUUGUGAUCCAAAUAUUCUGUUAAUUGGUCUGAAAGUUUGUUUUGAUGAUUUCUAAGUCAAGUUCGAACAAUUGGGUCAUCUUGGAUGAAAAACUAGGUCACACCGCCCAAAUAUGGAAAAACCUUGUUAACAUUCUAGUGGUCACAUUUUCGACUCAAUUAUCAUCAAACUUGGUCAGGAUGCUUGUCUAGGUAAUUGCUUGGAUGAGUUAGAAAUCGCAUGUGAAACUAGGUCACCGGAGCUAAAAAUAGAAAAAUCUUGUUAACACUCUAGUUGCUACUGUUUAGAUCCAAGUAUCCUGGAAAUUGGUCUGAAAGUUUGUUUUGAUGAUUUCUAGGUCAAGUUUGAAUAUGUGUCACCUGGGUAAAAAACUAGGUCGCACUGCUCAAAUAUGGAUAAUUCUUGUUAACACUGUAGUGGUCACAUUUUUGACUCACCUGUCAUGAGACUUGGUCAGAACGGUUGUCUAGGUAAUUGUUUGGAUGAGUUUGAUAAGUCAGGUGAGCGAUCUAGGGCCAUCAUGGCCCUCUUGUUUAAAAAUCCUGGUCACGGCACCAAAAUAAACCCCCAUGUAACAGGAUGGGAGUUAAACAACAACUACAAAGUCCUUUCUACGUUUAUUUCCAUAACUACGACAACAACCCAGGUCAUUUAUUUUUAUAAUCUGUUCUAAUCCAUCUCUCUAUCGCUUCUCCCCGAAAGAAGAAUUGUAUAUCGAUAAUAUCAACGCAGAAAUCAAUUAACCAAUCACUUGUAAGGAGGCGUUCCUAUAGCCAAGAAAUUUAUCAAUAUAUCUUAUAGAGUAUAAUCAGUAGAAUAUAAAUAAACCAAUAACAACAAGAACAACAAUAUCAGGCAUAUUGUUACAACUGGUUUGCUAUAGAAAAAGAAAAGAGAAUAUAUUUCAGUAUUUUAACGAAAAUAAUAAAGCAUUUUUAUACCCCCGCACAACAAAGUUGUAAGGGGGGUAUACUGGAAUCAGCUUGUCCGGCUGUCCGGCCGUCCGGCUGUCCGUCGGUUUUUUCUUGUCCGCCCAAUAACUUAAGAUUCCUUUGACCCUUAUUCUUCAUAUUUGGCAUGGAGGUUAGUCAUGAUUAGUAGAUGACCCCUUUUGAUUUUGAGGUCAAAGGUCAAGGUCACAGGGGCCUUGACUUCAAAAAGCUUGUCCGCCCAAUAACUUAAGAUUCCUUUGACCAACAGUCUUCAUAUUUGGCAUGGAGGUUUGUCAUGAUUAGCAGAUGACCCCUGUUGACUUUGAAGUCACCAGGUCAAAGGUCAAGGUCACAGGGGCCUUGACUUCAAAAAGUUUGUCCGCCCAAUAACUUAAGAUUCCUUUGACCCACAGUCUUCAUAUUUGGCAUGGAUGUUGAUCAUGAUUAUUAGGUGACCCCUUUUGAUUUUGAUGUCACUGGAUCAAAGGUCAAGGUCAUAGGGACUUUGACUUCAAAAAGUUUGUCAACCCAUUAACUUAACAUUGCUUUGACCCACAGUCUUCAUAUUUGGCAUGGAUGUUGAUCAUGACUAUAAGGUGACCCCUAUUGAUUUUGAGGUCACUGGGUCAAAUGUCAAGGUCACAGGGACCUUGACAAAAAAAGCUUUUCUUCUCAAUUGCUAAAGUAUGUCCUGUCUGCAGUGUAUUGAUUUGGACAUUUUCACAUUUGAAGCAUGUAGAAUACAUAAUUUAGCAAUGUACUGGCUUAGUAACCUCAGAUUUGGCAGGGAGGUUGUCCUUGAGCUCUAAAUGGCCACUGUUGAUUCUGACAAAGUGGUAUGCG